GAGGGUUCUUCUUGCAAGCAUCGACUGUGGACCCCCCGGACAGAUAGCUGGGUAUCGACGCGUACUCUGACGUGACCAAGCCAAUCAUCCAUACAUCAGUGUCCAUGGAGAUAUGCCCCACCCACUCUGGGCGCAGCAAGCAACUUUAAAGUGGUCAGGCCAACUUGCAAUUAAAGGUCAGCUGCUUUUCUACUAUUGGAACUUUUAUACAGUGGUGAAUUUUUUACCUAAGAAAAAGGUCAUCCCUUUUCCUCACCAAAAUAGCAUGCGCAUUAUCACUUACAAUAUUUACGACCAUUGCCUACCCAGCUGCAAAAAGUGGUUAGGCCAAAACCUGACCAGCCUGACCGCUUGCUACAGCUUUGAUCUUAUGUGCAACGUUAUGCUAUAAUUAUGUGAAAACAUUAUUUCUUACUCGUCCAGGUUCAGGUUCGGAAAUGUUGUGUUGGAGAUCACAUCAGGCAGAUAGAGAAGGUGGAGCUGGUCCUCCAGGACCUCCUUCAGCUGCAAUACGAGGACCUGGCAAUCAUGAAGAUGUUUGGGAGGGCCAAAGUGAACGUUAGUCUGCUCAUCUUCCUCAUGAACAAAAAUCGACAGAGCGUUAAAUUGGAUUUGCCAUUAGCAAAUUGCAUGUAUUCAUUGACUAUUCACAGCAGUGCAUGAAUUAUUUAUAUCAUCUGCAUGUACUAUUGACACGUUAUUAACGACCUAAUGUUCCAACAUAAUAUACUAUAUAUUAUUAUAGUACGUACUUCGCUACUUUUCUCAAAUUGUCAUUUAUUAUAAUGUGAUAUAA